rnacentral:rRNA from 1 species
UACGAAGGGGGCUAGCGUUGCUCGGAAUCACUGGGCGUAAAGCGCACGUAGGCGGACUCUUAAGUCAGGGGUGAAAUCCUGGAGCUCAACUCCAGAACUGCCUUUGAUACUGGGGAUCUCGAGUCCGGGAGAGGUGAGUGGAACUCCGAGUGUAGAGGUGAAAUUCGUAGAUAUUCGGAAGAACACCAGUGGCGAAGGCGGCUCACUGGCCCGGUACUGACGCUGAGGUGCGAAAGCGUGGGGAGCGAACAGG